rnacentral:rRNA from 1 species
GUCGUAACAAGGUCUCCGUUAGUGAACCAGCGGAGGGAUCAUUACUGAGUUACCGCUCUAUAACCCUUUGUGAACAUACCUAACCGUUGCUUCGGCGGGCAGGGGAAGCCUCUCGCGGGCCUCCCCUCCCGGCGCCGGCCCCCACCACGGGGACGGGGCGCCCGCCGGAGGAAACCAAACUCUAUUUACACGACGUCUCUUUUGAGUGGCACAAGCAAAUAAUUAAAACUUUUAACAACGGAUCUCUUGGUUCUGGCAUCGAUGAAGAACGCAGCGAAAUGCGAUAAGUAAUGUGAAUUGCAGAAUUCAGUGAAUCAUCGAAUCUUUGAACGCACAUUGCGCUCGCCAGCAUUCUGGCGAGCAUGCCUGUUCGAGCGUCAUUUCGACCCUCAAGCUCCGCUUGGUUUUGGGGCCCCACGGCACACGUGGGCCCUUAAAGGUAGUGGCGGACCCUCCCGGAGCCUCCUUUGCGUAGUAACUAACGUCUCGCACUGGGAUUCGGAGGGACUCUUGCCGUAAAACCCCCAAAUUUUUUACAGGUUGACCUCGGAUCAGGUAGGAAUACCCGCUGAACUUAAGCAUAUCAAUAAGCGGAGGA